rnacentral:rRNA from 1 species
AUUGAACGCUGGCGGCAGGCCUAACACAUGCAAGUCGAGCGGGGUUUUUCGGACCUAGCGGCGGACGGGUGAGUAAUGCGUAGGAAGCUACCCGACAGAGGGGGAUACCAGUUGGAAACGACUGUUAAUACCGCAUAAUGUCUACGGACCAAAGUGUGGGACCUUCGGGCCACAUGCUGUCGGAUGCGCCUACGUGGGAUUAGCUAGUUGGUGAGGUAAUGGCUCACCAAGGCGACGAUCCCUAGCUGGUUUGAGAGGAUGAUCAGUCACACUGGAACUGAGACACGGUCCAGACUCCUACGGGAGGCAGCAGU